rnacentral:tRNA from 1 species
GCCAGUGUGGCUCCGUGGUUGAGCGUCAGCUUCUGAACCAGGAGGUCAGGGUUCGAUUCCCGGUCCGGGCA